UUAAAUUUAAAAAAAAAAACUUUUAUUUCUCUUUGUUUCUCUUUGGGCGACUGGUUCGGCGAGCCUCCACGAAGGCCACUGGUCGUCGGCGACGAUUCCGCAGUCUACGAUGGAUGUAAAAAUACAAAAAACUCCUUUUAGGUCGUUUUGGCUCCCUAAGCCUAGAUCUGGUAUUGGUUUUUUCCAAAAACCCACCAAAUCGCAGAAAUUUUAAAGAAACCUUUCGAUUUUUGAGUUUUUUUUUUUAAAUUUCUCGUCAGAGCCACCUUUCAUUGGAGGUGGAGACCUCGGCCCCUCUCAACGGUGGAACGUGAAUUGUCAAGUAAUCCUUCUCUUUGUUUAUUUUAUGUUUAUAUAUAUAACAUAUUUUGAAAAAAAUAAAUAAAAGAGAAAAUCACCUUCGGGUUUUUGUAUUCUGGCUUUUAUAGUCAAUACAUUUUUAUUUUUUUCCUACUGUUUCAAUUGUUCCUUCUUGUAUGUUUGGUUUCUGUCUUUUCUUCCUUUUUUGUUGCAGGCGAUGGUUGAGGAUGACGAUGGCAAAGACAGACCUAGGGACAAGAGGCCUUGGGCGCUAGAAACCCUAGGAUUUUUGGCUUACUGAAACUAGUUAAGGUUUUGGGCCUGACAGGCCUUGGGUUAAUGGGCUUGUAAUAUGGAAAGUGCAUUGGGCCUGUAAUUUGAGGCUUGAUAUUUUGUAAAUGGACUGGCCUAUUUUUGUACUUUUAUUUAUUUUGGUUUUGUUUAUUAUAUAUUUUUUUGUUUAGUGGGCCGGGCAGAAUUGGCUUAUUACAAAAGGUAUAGCAUAUGUUGAUUAUUUUAUUUUAUUUAUAAAAAG
rnacentral:lncRNA from 1 species